rnacentral:rRNA from 1 species
CCCUUAGAUGGUCUGGGCGGCACGCGCGCUACAAUGAUGCAUUCAAAAAGUCUUCUGACCUUAGAAGGUUGGGUAUUCUCCAAAGUGCAUCGUGAUGGGAAUAGUUUAUUGCAAUUUUUAAUCUUGAACGAGGAAUUCCUAGUAAGUACAGGUCAUCAACUUGUGUUGAUUACGUCCCUGCCCUUUGUACACACCGCCCGUCGCUCCUACUGAUUGAGUGUCUCGGUGAAUUCUUUGAUCUUCUGUCGAUUCAGUUCACUGAUCCGACGGUGGAAAGUUGAAUGAACUUCGUCACUUAGAAGAAGGAGAAGUCGUAACA